AUUGAACGCUGGCGGCAUGCCUUACACAUGCAAGUCGAACGGCAGCACGGGAGCAAUCCUGGUGGCGAGUGGCGAACGGGUGAGUAAUAUAUCGGAACGUGCCCAGUCGUGGGGGAUAACGUAGCGAAAGCUACGCUAAUACCGCAUACGAUCUAUGGAUGAAAGCGGGGGAUCGCAAGACCUCGCGCGAUUGGAGCGGCCGAUAUCAGAUUAGGUAGUUGGUGAGGUAAAGGCUCACCAAGCCGACGAUCUGUAGCUGGGCUGAGAGGACGAGCAGGCGCACUGGGACGAAGACACGGCCCAGACUCCUACGGGAGGCAGCAGUGGGGAAUUUUGGACAAUGGGCGGAAGCCUGAUCCAGCAAUGCCGCGUGCAGGAUGAAGGCCUUCGGGUUGUAAACUGCUUUUGUACGGAACGAAACGGCGAGCUCUAAUACAGUUUGCUAAUGACGGUACCGUAAGAAUAAGCACCGGCUAACUACGUGCCAGCCGCCACGGUAA
rnacentral:rRNA from 1 species